UACGGAGGGUGCGAGCGUUAAUCGGAAUUACUGGGCGUAAAGCGCGCGUAGGCGGUUUGUUAAGUCGGAUGUGAAAGCCCCGGGCUCAACCUGGGAACUGCACCCGAUACUGGCCGACUUGAGUGCGAGAGAGGGAGGUAGAAUUCCAUGUGUAGCGGUGAAAUGCGUAGAUAUAUGGAGGAAUACCGGUGGCGAAGGCGGCCUCCUGGCCCGACACUGACGCUGAGGUGCGAAAGCGUGGGUAGCAAACAGG
rnacentral:rRNA from 1 species